GACGGGGAGCACCACAACGGGUGGAGUCUUGUCGGUUUAAUUGAUUCAACGCCGGAAUCUUACCGGGACCGACAGCAAUAUGAAGGCCAGGCUGAAGACUUUGCCGGAUUAGCUGAGAGGUGGUGCAUGGCCGUCGUUAGUUCGUACUGUGAAGCAUCCUGUUAAGUCAGGCAACGAGCGAGACCCACGCCCACAGUUGCCAGCGUACUCUCCGGAGUGACGGGUACACUGUGGGGACCGCCGCUGCUAAAGCGGAGGAAGGAAUGGGCAACGGUAGGUCAGUAUGCCCCGAAUAUCCCGGGCUACACGCGAGCUACAAUGGUUGGUACAAUGGGUAUCUACCCCGAAAGGGGACGGAAAUCUCCUAAAACCAAUCUUAGUUCGGAUUGAGGGCCGCAACUCGCCCUCAUGAAGCUGGAAUCCGUAGUAAUCGCGUUUCAACAGAACGCGGUGAAUACGUCCCUGCUCCUU
rnacentral:rRNA from 1 species